rnacentral:lncRNA from 1 species
GGGCCUCCUGGGGGCGGCCCCGGCUCCUCUGGGAACAGACUGUCUGUUUGCUGAGAUACCAUCGCAUUCCUGCAGCCUCAGCCACCCCAGGAUGGAUGGGGGUGGGGGGGGCGGUGUGCAAGGGGAGGGGAGGAGGAAAUAGGACAGCUGCUGGCCCUCUGUUCCCCUGGGGCCCUCACUGAGAAGGCUGCCGCCCUGGGUCCUCCAGGGGGGUCUAUGGUUUUCUGGCCUGCUUGUUGAGUACUUUGGAAAGCUCCUUAUUAGCCAACGUGGGUACCCCACUCUACAGUUUACAGAGCGUUUUCUCAACAAUGACCUAUUUUGCUCUUCCAGAUAACCUUCUGUGUAGGUAGUCUGGGGUGCUGAAUUUCCACAGAGGAGAGCUGCCUAGCCAACAGCGAGUAUGGCCAUCGUUGGAGCAGGAGCCCUUGAAUGAGCCCCAGCUGACCAGUUCCAGCCACUGGGAAUGCUUACCGUAUGGCGGUGACUGUCAAAAGCACGUUAGAUGCAUUAGCUUGCUUAUUCUUCACCAACAGCCCUUGGGAGAAGGAAGAGGGAGAGAGAGAACUCAUGCCAGAGUGAGGAGGAGAAAGACCCACCAGCCAUUCUUGGUGCUGAAGGUGGGUGAAGAGGACAUGAGCCAAGACCUGCAGGCUGCCUCUAGAAUCUGGAAAAGCUCCCUUGAGCCCCUGGAAAGGUUUACAGUCCUGCCGAUGUUCUGAUUUUAAACCAGUAACACUCAUUUUGGACUUCAGACUUCCUGAACUGUAGGCAAUAAAAUCUGAGUUGCUUGAAGC